rnacentral:rRNA from 1 species
AAACUAGGGGAUAGAUAACCUAUUAUUAAAAAUGUAAAUUUUUUUACUUAAUUAGUAUUAGUUAUGUUCUUGAAAAUUAAAAAAUUUGGCGGUAUUUUAGUCUUUUCAGAGGAACCUGUUCUAUAAUCGAUAGUCCACGAUUAGAUGCACUUUAUUUAUUAGUUUAUAUAUCGUCGUAGUUUAAAUAUUUUAAUAGAAUUAUAAAUAUUUAAAAUUUUUUAUUAAAAAAUAAAUCAGAUCAAGGUGUAGUUUAUAAUAAAGAAGAAAUGGGUUACAAUAAAUUUAUUUUAAAAUAAUUUUUGUUAAAAAAAUUUGAAUUUGGAUUUGAGAGUAAUUUUUUAGAUUUUUUUAAGAUGAUUAAAGCUCUAAAAUAUGUACAUAUCGCCCGUCGCUUUCAUUUUAAAAUGAAAUAAGUCG